rnacentral:rRNA from 1 species
AUACGGAGGAUCCGAGCGUUAUCCGGAUUUAUUGGGUUUAAAGGGUGCGCAGGCGGGAGAUUAAGUCGGCGGUGAAAUUUUGCAGCUCAACUGUAAAAGUGCCUUCGAAACUGGUUUCCUUGAGUGUAGAUGAAGUAGGCGGAAUUUGUGGUGUAGCGGUGAAAUGCAUAGAUAUCACGAGGAACUCCGAUUGCGCAGGCAGCUUACUAAACUACUACUGACGCUCAGGCACGAAGGCGUGGGGAUCAAACAGGAUUAGAUACCCUGGUAGUCCACGCAGUAAACGAUGAUUACUAGCUGUUUGCGAUACAAUGUAAGCGGCUGAGCGAAAGCGCUAAGUAAUCCACCUGGGGAGUACGUUCGCAAGAAUGAAACUCAAAUGAAUUGACGGGG